GAUAAACGCUAGCGGCAGGCCUAACACAUGCAAGUCGAGGGGCAGCGUAAUGUUUAGUUUACUAAAUAUAGAUGGCGACCGGCGAAUGGGUGCGUAACGCGUAUGCAACCUGCCCUGAACAGGGGGAUAAUCUGGAGAAAUCCGGUCUAAUACCCCAUAACACAUUAAAUGGCAUCAUUAAUUGUUAAAAGCUCCGGCGGUUCAGGAUGGGCAUGCGUUGUAUUAGUUAGUUGGUAAGGUAACGGCUUACCAAGGCUAUGAUACAUAGGGGGACUGAGAGGUUUGCCCCCCACACUGGUACUGAGACACGGACCAGACUCCUACGGGAGGCAGCAGUGAGGAAUAUUGGUCAAUGGACGGAAGUCUGAACCAGCCAUGCCGCGUGCAGGAAGACGGCUCUAUGAGUUGUAAACUGCUUUUGUACGGAGCGAAAAGGCUCUCUCUAAUACAGGGGGCUCAUGACGGUACCGUAAGAAUAAGCACCGGCUAACUACGUGCCAGCAGCCGCCGUAAAAC
rnacentral:rRNA from 1 species